AUUUAAGUAGCUUAAAUUUAAAGCUUAACUUUGAAGCAGUUAAAAUAAGAAAAUUUCUUCUUAAAUA
rnacentral:tRNA from 1 species